rnacentral:rRNA from 1 species
UACGUAGGGAGCGAGCGUUGUCCGGAAUCAUUGGGCGUAAAGCGCGCGUAGGCGGCCCGAUAAGUCCGUUGUGAAAGUCAAAGGCUCAACCUUUGAAUGCCGAUGGAUACUGUGCGACUAGAGUGCGGAAGGGGCAACUGGAAUUCUCGGUGUAGCGGUGAAAUGCGUAGAUAUCGAGAGGAACACCUGCGGCGAAGGCGGGUUGCUGGGCCGACACUGACGCUGAUGCGCGAAAGCCAGGGGAGCGAACGGG